UAUUUAUCACCAGAACAGGUACAGCCUAGGUGGCAGCAAUGCAAGCUUCCCUGCCAAUGUGCCUUAGUCUGAUCUGGAGUGAGCCCCACCCUUCCCAGGGGGGAGA
rnacentral:sRNA from 1 species